rnacentral:snoRNA from 1 species
GCCCUGCAGAUUCCUUACCCAUCAGACCUUCACGCUCACCUGGGUGGUUAUAAAGGGAGGAAAAAGGUCAAUGGAAACUGCCUUAAGUUGUUUCAUGGCACCUUAGUUAGUUCCAAAGAAUU